AUUAAGUCAAUGUUACGCAAAUAUGACUUCAAUAUUGUACAUUAAACUGGAUUUAGACCAAAGUGAUUCUUUAUUAUCCUCUGUACAUCAUCAAAGUAGUAGUAUCUGGUAGUAUCAUUGAAGAUUUCUGUUCUAAUAAGUGUAGUUCCAGUGCUGAAAUUUCCUACAAUAUAGUAUUUAUAUAGGUAUUUAUAAUUAUUAGGUUCGAGAAUUAUCUAGACUUGGUGGUUCAGGAGCAGCACACAGCACAAGGAAAGUGCUUUAUGCGGUUCUGGGCAAUGAAAUUGCACAAAAAUAUUCUUCGGAUGGGGCCAAACAGAAGAGAAGUUUGAAAUCAUUGUUAGUGGCCAAAAGCAAUUUUAGACUCCAUGAAAGGUCAAUUUCAAGAGUCAAAAGAAACCAAAAUUAUCAAUAUAAUUAAAAUAUGGCUUGUAAAAACAAAAGAAAGAUUAAAAAAUACAAAGGUAAGUUGUGCAAAUUUAUUUGAACAGUAUAAUUUUGCUGAUAUUAUUUCA